GCACCUCUCCAAGUACGUCCUCGAUGGUACGUAUAGGAAACAAGCCGUCUGUCAUCUAUUCUACCGAUCGAUGGAUUGGUUCUCCGGUCCAACUUCGAGCUGCAUUGAUCACUGACGAUGAGAUACUGUGUUGGGCAUUGGGUCAGCUCUUGACCCGGAGACCAAGGUGCUGGACCUGGGCUCUCGCAACUUCUUCCUCUGCUCCAACAGGGCGACACAGAGAUCAGAUCAUCAUCUGCUUCUUCGCUCAGCACGGCCAUGUCUUGAUGUCUGAAAGAGUGAAAAUACUGCUGUAAAAAUGGUGGGAAUUACUCAGAAAGUCAGAAGUCAGGACCUGACGCAUGUAUGGUUUUGGAGUGUACCUAACGUCUGACCCUCUGGAUAAGCACGUAAUGUUAGGUUACGUAUAGCUCAGCCAAGGGACAUACAUAUGUAAUAUAGCCUCCCUAAACCCAUCCAUGCACAUGGCCCACAUAGACUCGUCCAGAUCUCAAAUGCAUAGACUGACCAACAUCUCUCAUAUUCAGCCUAAAUUUAAUGCGGAUAUGAUUAGGCUCACACGUGUUUGGGUGCGUCCCUCACAUCGGACCAACCCACACUGACCUAUCCUGACCCAUACAUCUCAACCACCAUGUGGCACAAAAGAGGUCCAGUGAAGACACUGUUGGGGGAGGUGUGGAGGUGGGGCUGAGGACAUCGACCAGGGAGGUGUCGGGGUAGUUGUGACGGGCACAAAGAAGAAAGGUAGUGCGUUGCUUGAGGGGAGAAAAGACAACAAGGGGAGGUAACAUUGGAUCGUCAGAGUGCUGAGAAGAGAUUAAAAAAUAGGGUAUUCUCUUGCUUUAUAUUAUAAAGCAAUAAACAGGGAUCACAACUAUUGGGACGGACACCACAUCAAGCCAAAAAAA
rnacentral:lncRNA from 1 species